rnacentral:lncRNA from 1 species
AGUGGGGAAUCAUAUGUGCUGGAAACGUCCUUGCUCCACCAGCCGGAGGCCAGGAAGCGAGCGCCAAAUGCUGUUUACAGGACAGCUCUUAUUUCAGGAAUGAAGACUAAGGCUCAGCAGGUAGGAGGCCUUGAGAACAAGCACCGAAUUUCCAAGAAGCCCACGCUGCGACGGAGCUGCAGAGUGCUUGGCUCAGGGAACUCAUUGGAUAAUGAGACAGGAGACGCUUGCGAUGUUGUAAUAAACCCAUGCAAACUCAUCUACAUUAACAGGGGCACCAGCUUACUAUGCUGGGGAAGAUUUGAAGAUCAAGAGUUAGGCAAAACCGAGUUGAAAUCUCAGAUAAAUGACUUCGGUGGUCAUGGGAUGCUACAACUGGAUCAAUUUGCUGAUAAAGGUGCUCAUUCGAGCUGAAGGAUUUAAUAGAGAAAAAGCAGACUAAGAAAUAGAAUAUUUAAACACUUCAAGUCAUUUCCUUGGAAAGGCUUUCUGCAUCUUGUUGGAGGAGCGAGUCAUCUUCCUGUGUGAAAUGUUCAAAGCUCAUUUCCGGUGAGUAAUGAGAGGGGCAUUCAGGUCUGGAUGCAGCCACUGUGCACGUGGUGAAGUCCACGGUACUACAGCUUCCUCUUCAGAAAACAGAGGUGCUGCCUCUUGGGCCCCAUUAUUCUGGGCUCUUC